CGUAGGCCGAGCGCUUCCCCCGGGAGAGAAGGGGUGGCGUGGUAUUCCACGAGAGAGGUUUUACGUGGCGCACGUUAGUGUGAUCGGCGCACAACAAUGGGCUCUUCCGUCGCUUUGCUGCUUUUGUUUCUGCAGCAAACAGCGGCGGCUGAGGCUCAGAUUCGAGAUGAUUGGCAUAUAAGUGGUGGCGCCUGGAGAUGUCGUGCAUAGGGAAAGCGGAAUGUUGGAUGGGCACAGACUUGGUGGUUGAUGUUUGCGAUUCCUCUGUCAUUCUUGAUGCCUGUGACAUUGUAUCGUAAUCUGCUUGUUGAAAUGAUGAUGUCCUCCCACUUCUUCUCAUAAAUCCAUUUCCACUCUCCUAUAAAAACACAACCUCCAUCAAGCUCAACAACAUACAUUACAUCACCCAGAGCUAGAGAGAAUGAGAGAGAGAUGAACAACCUCGCUUGAUCCUCCGUCUAUGGAUGAUUUACGGAUUUUUCUUGGAAGUCUACUUGUAGCACCAGCUUUCCUUCUGAACAAAAAUGAAACUAUUGUCAUCUAUCUAUUCUGAUCCCAUAAAUGAAGAUGUUCAUAUGAAAGAAAACGAGUAACCUUUUUGCAUCUUCGCGA